rnacentral:sRNA from 1 species
GUACAUGUUGCAGGUGAUAGAAGGAUUUAAGACUGCAAACGUGUUACAGUGUGGAGGACAUGUUACAGGUGAUAGAAGGAUUUAAGACUGCAAACGUGUUACAGUGUGGAGGACAUGUUACAGUCUUAAAUCCUUCUAUCACCUGUAACAUGUCCUCCACACUGUAACACGUGAUAGAAGGAUUUAAGACUGCAAACGUGUUACAGUGUGGAGGACAUGUUGCAGGUGAUAAAAGGAUUUAAGACUGCAAACGUGUUACAGUGUGGAGGACUUGUUACAGGUGAUAGAAGGAUUUAAGACUGCAAAUGUGUUACAGUGUUAAGAACAUGUUGCAGGUGAUAAAAGGUUUUAAGUCUACAAACGUGUUACAGUGUGGAGGACAUGUUGUAGGUGAUAGAAGGAUUUAAGACUGCAAACGUGUUACAGUGUGGAGGACAUGUUACAGGUGAUAAAAGGUUUUAAGUCUACAAACGUGUUACAGUGUGGAGGACAUGUUGUAGGUGAUAGAAGGAUUUAAGACUGCAAACGUGUUACAGUGUGGAGGACAUGUUGCAGGUGAUAAAAGGAUUUAAGACUGCAAACGUGUUACAGUGUAUAGUACAUGUUGCAGGUGAUGGAAGGAUUUAAGACUGCAAACGUUUUACUAUUU